GUCAGGAUGGCCGAGCGGUCUAAGGUGCCAGAUUCAUGCUCUGGUACUCGAAAGAGAGCGUGGGUUCUAUUAUCACUGCUGACA